GGAGAGGUGCUGGAGUGGCUGAACAGGAUCGCCUGCUAAGCGAUUAUAUCGUCCAAAAACGGUAUCGAGGGUUCGAAUCCCUCCCUCUCCGCCA
rnacentral:tRNA from 1 species